CCUACGGGUGGCAGCAGUGAGGAAUAUUGGUCAAUGGGCGCGAGCCUGAACCAGCCAAGUAGCGUGAAGGAUGACUGCCCUACGGGUUGUAAACUUCUUUUAUCAAGGAAUAAAGUGAGGCACGUGUGCCUUUUCGUAUGGACUUUAUGAAUAAGGAUUGGCCAACCCCGUGCCAGCCGCCGCGGUAAUUCGGAGGAUCCGAGCGUUAUUCGGUUUUAUUGGGUUUAAAGGGAGCGUAGAUGGGUUGUUAAGUCAGUUGUGAAAGUUUGCGGCUCAACCGUAAAAUUGCAAUUGAUACUGGCAGCCUUGAGUACAGUUGAGGUAGGCGGAAUUCGUGGUGUAGCGGUGAAAUGCUUAGAUAUCACGAAGAACUCCGAUUGCGAAGGCAGCCUACUAAACUGCCACUGACAUUGAUGCUCGAAAGUGUGGGUAUCAAACAGGAUUAGAUACCCCGGUAGUC
rnacentral:rRNA from 1 species